rnacentral:rRNA from 1 species
GACGAACGCUGGCGGCGUGCCUAAUACAUGCAAGUAGAACGCUGAAGGAGGAGCUUGCUUCUCUGGAUGAGUUGCGAACGGGUGAGUAACGCGUAGGUAACCUGCCUGGUAGCGGGGGAUAACUAUUGGAAACGAUAGCUAAUACCGCAUAAGAGUAGAUGUUGCAUGACAUUUGCUUAAAAGGUGCAAUUGCAUCACUACCGGAUGGACCUGCGUUGUAUUAGCUAGUUGGUGAGGUAACGGCUCACCAAGGCAACGAUACAUAGCCGACCUGAGAGGGUGAUCGGCCACACUGGGACUGAGACACGGCCCAGACUCCUACGGGAGGCAGCAGUAGGGAAUCUUCGGCAAUGGACGGAAGUCUGACUGAGCAACGCCGCGUGAGUGAAGAAGGUUUUCGGAUCGUAAAGCUCUGUUGUAAGAGAAGAACGAGUGUGAGAAGUGGAAAAGUUCA